CAGUCGCCGCGGUAAUACGUAGGUGGCAAGCGUUGUCCGGAAUUAUUGGGCGUAAAGGGCUCGCAGGCGGUUUCUUAAGUCUGAUGUGAAAGCCCCCGGCUCAACCGGGGAGGGUCAUUGGAAACUGGGAAACUUGAGUGCAGAAGAGGAGAGUGGAAUUCCACGUGUAGCGGCGAAAUGCGUAGAGAUGUGGAGGAACACCAGUGGCGAAGGCGACUCUCUGGUCUGUAACUGACGCUGAGGAGCGAAAGCGUGGGGAGCGAACAGGAUUAGAUACCCGGGUAGUCCCUGUCUCUUAUAC
rnacentral:rRNA from 1 species